rnacentral:rRNA from 1 species
UUCCGGAGAGGGAGCCUGAGAAACGGCUACCACAUCCAAGGAAGGCAGCAGGCGCGCAAAUUACCCAAUCCAGACAUUGGGAGGUAGUGACGAGAAAUACUGGGGAUGUUCUAUUGGAAUGUCACCCGGGAUGAACGUAGCAUAAAACAUUCGAUGAGGAUCUACUGGAGGGCAAGUCUGGUGCCAGCAGCCGCGGUAAUUCCAGCUCCAGUAGUGUAUAUCAACAUUGUUGCGUUUAAAACGCUCGUAGUUGGAUUACAGGGUGUCGAAUGGCUCGCGCUUGUUAGCCGGGUCAGUUUGGGGAGAUUGAGGAGUUGGAGACAAUGAAUCAGGAUCGCCGAAUGACGCCUUUUUUCGCGCCGGCCCUGACAUUUGCUUGAUUGGAGGUGUCAGACGCUGGCGGAGUGUGCCUUGAAUAAAGCAUAGUGCUCAAAGCAGGCGUACGCUCGUGUGUAAUAGCAUGGAACAGAUAGUCGAUCUUAAGGACGACAUCACGGUGAAAACUGUGUGUUGUUUUGUCUCGCUUUGUUGGUUGUGAGACGGGUCUCGUUGGUUAAAAGGGACAUUUGAGGGCAUUGGUACUUUGUGGCGAGAGGUGAAAUUCUUAGACCCACAAAAGACUGACUGGUGCGAAAGCGUUUGUCAAGAAUGUUUUCAUUAAUCAAGAACGAAGGUCAGAGUUUCGAAGACGAUCAGAUACCGUCCUAGUUUUGACAGCAAACGAUGCUAGCACAGAGUCAGCUCGUCCGCCCUUGGUUGGGACGUGAUAGGUUGGCUCUGCCGGGAAACCUAAAGCUUUCGAGUUACGGGGAGAGUAUAGCUUCAAGGCGGGAAUUUAAAGAAAUUGACGGAGAGGCACCACCAGGAGUGGAGCCUGCGGCUUAAUUUGACUCAACACGGGGAAACUCACCAGGUCCAGACAUUGGUAGGAUUGACAGGCUGGUAGACCUUUCAUGAUUCGAUGGAUGGUGGUGCAUGGCCGUUCUUAGUUGGUGGAGUGAUCUGUCAGGUCUAUUCCGGUAACGAGCGAGACCGCGGUCAGUAGUUUCGGAUGCUCGAUUGGCAGAAAUGCCGAUCCAGUUAUUUGACUACUGGGACAACUGGACUUUAAGCCAGGGGAAGCGCGGCAAUAACAGGUCUGUGAUGCCCUUCGAUGUCCUGGGCUGCACGCGCGCUACAAUGGCAGCAGAAGAGGGUGGCUGAUCAGAGAUGGUUGGCUAAACUGUGAAUGGCUGUCGUGAUUGGGAUUGUGCCUUGAAAUUAUUGCACAUGAAAGAGGAAUUCCUCGUAAGCACUGGUCAUCAGCCAGUGUUGAAUACGUCUCUGCCUCUUGUACACACCGCCCGUCGCUACUACCGAUUGAAUAUCAUUUAGAGCUGGCUGG